rnacentral:rRNA from 1 species
AUUGAACGCUGGCGGCAGGCCUAACACAUGCAAGUCGAGCGGAUGACGGGAGCUUGCUCCUUGAUUCAGCGGCGGACGGGUGAGUAAUGCCUAGGAAUCUGCCUGGUAGUGGGGGACAACGUUUCGAAAGGAACGCUAAUACCGCAUACGUCCUACGGGAGAAAGCAGGGGACCUUCGGGCCUUGCGCUAUCAGAUGAGCCUAGGUCGGAUUAGCUAGUUGGUGGGGUAAUGGCUCACCAAGGCGACGAUCCGUAACUGGUCUGAGAGGAUGAUCAGUCACACUGGAACUGAGACACGGUCCAGACUCCUACGGGAGGCAGCAGUGGGGAAUAUUGGACAAUGGGCGAAAGCCUGAUCCAGCCAUGCCGCGUGUGUGAAGAAGGUCUUCGGAUUGUAAAGCACGUUAAGUUGGGAGGAAGGGCAGUAAGUUAAUACCUUGCUGUUUUGACGUUACCGACAGAAUAAGCACCGGCUAACUCUGUGCCAGCCGCCGCCGUAA